UGCAUGAAGAAAUUGCAUAAUGCAGUAGUAAUCAAAGAAACCUAAAUUUGGACUCUAGAAAUCAUCUACAUAUCAGGGGUAGGAUCAGAAAAAUAAACCAGUGAAGAAAAAUGAGAAAGAGGCAAAAGAAAAACCAAGAAGAAAUGAUAUCAAUGAAGUGAAGGAAUGGUCAUCAAUAUCACUGGCUAUGUAUCACAUAGGAAACUGAAGAAAAGCCAAUAGCAGUACAUGAAAUAACCAACUCAGAAAGUGUAUAAUGUAAAAGGAAAACAGAAUGAGGCAAGGAAGAAUUAACUGUAAUUCUCCACAUAAUAUAGGAAGAAACUGAGGCCCUCUUAACAUUAGAAAAAGGU